AUAAUUAUACUUUAUUGAAAAUGGCAUUAAUUAUUUUUAUGGGUAAAUAUUUUGUAAAUAAAAGGUAUAAUUCUUGCCCCCCACUGACCAGAAUUUCUGGCUCCACCACUGUCUCUCUGUUACUUUCUAAUUGGCAGUGUAUCAUUUGCAUUAAUACCAGAGAAGAUCCUUGAAUUGAUGAAGAAAGUUUGAUCUGAAUUCACCUGACAAGACAGCCAUGAAUUGCUGACUUCACCCAAAUCCAACAUUCAACAAGACGAGUUUUAAACUGAUAUUGCCCAAAACCAACUACAAAAGGGCCCUUCAAUCUUAUAGAGUAUAGACACAUUAUUAUAUUAUUUUUGACAUGUUCUAACAACUUCCAGAUGUAACUUAGGUAAUCAGCUUCUCUAAUUCAUUACCAUAUAUAUGGUUGAAAUUCGCAUUACCAAUUUCUAGGUCAAUGUGAGAUGGUCAAGCUUGGGUUGAACAGUUUCUGGAACCAUCCCAAAUUAAUACAUUGCCAUUUCUACCAGCCAAACAACUCCAAUUGAAAACAGAAAAGGGAAAACUAAAGAAUAAACACCUUGCUAACAUCAGACAAACAGCAUUAAGCUUAAAGUGGCCAAAAUAUGUCAGCUAAUAUCACCUGUCACAAUAGCAUUCCCAACAUAUUCUUAACUUCAGGAUACAGAGGAUCAAGCUAAUGUGACCACAUAUCAUUGGAAUUCAUCCAGAGUACACUAACAGAAAUGUGGAUGAGAAAGAACACAUUGUUUCAAAGGAAGCUGAAUCAUUUGGCAAGUUGACUCAACAGAGUAGCACUUGAGGGAUGCCUUCAUAGACUUAAUAGGCAAACAAAAUUUUCACAUGCAUGGAUGCAAAGACUUUCAUUCCAUUGUCAUAAAGUUAUCUCUCUGGAUAACUGCCUAGGAUAACUUUGCAAAAUGAAUAAACAUCAUUACAAUGUCUAUUUCCUCUAUGGACCAAACAAAAGCUUCAAUUUGGCAUUCUAUCUUUUAUCUAGAAAAAUUCAAGCAGUGGUAGGUGAACAAAUUAGACCAAAAGGUCAGUUGUAUCUGUCUAGGACAAGGGUGUUUGUCUCUAUCUGGCAUCCAAACUUUGAAUGAUCCAAGCAAGACCAAUUCAGUUUAAUUGCAAUGGUAAAAAGUAUGACAA
rnacentral:misc_RNA from 1 species